CGAAAUAAAAAGAACUAUUUUGAGUUAAACCCUAAGCCACCGUUAGCGUGAUCGAGACUAUGCCUCACCGUUGGUUAUCCAGCCACCUUCUUUAAAGCCACAACCACCGUGAUUAUGAGAGAGACGAUUGAGCCACCGGUAUUGUUGUCAUCGUGCUGUUGUGUUUGAAUGGAUCGAGGAACUUGUCAGAAAGGAGAGAUCUUUGUCGUUCAUCACCACCACCACCGCCGUGUGUUGCCAGAGGUUUCCAACACGAGUCACAUGACGUUAGCCACUGUCACCGGAGCAGUCGUAGACAUUGUCGAGGCCGUUAAGGGUAAGAAAGCCCUAGAUUUAAUCUGUAACUUGUGCUGGAAGUUUCUGGCUUGCUUUAUGAUAUGUUGAUAUGUUGUUGUUUAACUAUCGACCCAUGAGGGCUAACCACCAUGGCUUGAACCGCCACAUAUCAGAUUGCUUAGCCGUCCACUUCACCGUUCCAGCCGCCGUGUAAACAGUCCCGCCGAGAUCCAGUGUUGUCGAGAAGGUAUCGGCUGAACCUUAUCUCGUGUCGUUGAUAUCAGAUGGAUUAUUAAACCGAUGUUCUAUGAGGUGAUUGAUUAUUAUAGGGAUGGAUUGAACCAGCCUAAAUCAUGAGAUUCUACGUGUAAUUGAUUCCUUUAACUGAAACUUGACGUGUAGUGAUUAACUAUGUGAAUCGUUGACGUGUAGUGAUGGGUUCUCUACAGUAAAAUUCGGGACUUGUAGGUUACUUGGGAGUGGCAAUGGUUAUGCCAUUCUAAAGUCCUAUAGACUAAAUCACCAUUUUGAUAGACA
rnacentral:lncRNA from 1 species